CGAAGCGAAGCAGUGAUGUGAAGCAAAUCGCACCAAAGCCGGUCCCAGUUCGGAUAAGAGGCUGAAACUCGCCUCUUUGAAGUCGGAAUCGCUAGUAAUCGCAGAUCAGCAUGUUGCGGUGAAUACGUUCCCGGGUCUUGUACACACCGCCCGUCAAACCAUGAGAGUCACCAACACCCGAAGUCCGCUUUGGUGGCCUAAGGUGGGGGAGAUGAUUGGGGUUAAGUCGUAACAAGGUAAC
rnacentral:rRNA from 1 species